rnacentral:rRNA from 1 species
UAGCAUAUCAAUAAGCGGAGGAAAAGAAACCAACAGGGAUUGCCUCAGUAACGGCGAGUGAAGCGGCAACAGCUCAAAUUUGAAAUCUGGCCCCCCGGCCCGAGUUGUAAUUUGCAGAGGAUGCUUCUGGCGACGCGCCUUCCGAGUUCCCUGGAACGGGACGCCACAGAGGGUGAGAGCCCCGUCCGGUCGUGCGCCUAGCCUGUGUGAAGCUCCUUCGACGAGUCGAGUAGUUUGGGAAUGCUGCUCUAAAUGGGAGGUAUACGUCUUCUAAAGCUAAAUACCGGCCAGAGACCGAUAGCGCACAAGUAGAGUGAUCGAAAGAUGAAAAGCACUUUGAAAAGAGGGUUAAAUAGUACGUGAAAUUGCUGAAAGGGAAGCGCUUAUGACCAGACUUGGGCCCGGUGAAUCACCCAGCGUUCUCGCUGGUGCACUUUGCCGGCCCAGGCCAGCAUCAGUUCGCGCCGGGGGAUAAAGGCUUCGGGAAUGUAGCUCCCUCGGGAGUGUUAUAGACCGUUGCGCAAUACCCUGGGGCGGACUGAGGUACGCGUUCUGCAAGGAUGCUGGCGUAAUGGUCAUCAGUGACCCGUCUUGAAACACGGACCAAGGAGUCGUCUUUGUAUGCGAGUGUUCGGGUGUCAAACCCCUACGCGUAAUGAAAGUGAACGUAGGAGAGAGCUUCGGCGCAUCUCCGACCGAUCCUGAUGUUCUCGGAUGGAUUUGAGUAAGAGCAUACAGGGCCGGACCCGAAAGAAGGUGAACUAUGCCUGUAUAGGGUGAAGCCAGAGGAAACUCUGGUGGAGGCUCGCAGCGGUUCUGACGUGCAAAUCGAUCGUCAAAUAUGGGCAUGGGGGCGAAAGACUAAUCGAACCUUCUAGUAGCUGGUUUCCGCCGA